GACGAACGCUGGCGGCGUGCUUAACACAUGCAAGUCGAGCGGUAAGGCCCUUUCGGGGGUACACGAGCGGCGAACGGGUGAGUAACACGUGGGUGACCUGCCCUCAGCUCUGGGAUAAGCCUGGGAAACCGGGUCUAAUACUGGAUAUGACUCCAUGACGCAUGUUGUGGGGUGGAAAGCCUUGUGCGGCUGAGGAUGGGCCCGCGGCCUAUCAGCUUGUUGGUGGGGUGANGGCCUACCAAGGCGACGACGGGUAGCCGGCCUGAGAGGGCGACCGGCCGACACUGGGACUGAGACACGGCCCACGACUCCUACGGGAGGCGGGCAGUGGGGAAUCUUGCGCAAUGGGCGAAAGCCUGACGCAGCGACGCCGCGUGAGGGAUGACGGCCU
rnacentral:rRNA from 1 species